GCGUUAGUGGUGCAGCGGAUUGAAGCACGUGUCCCCCGGAUAGGACAAAUCGCGGAUUCGAGUCCCGCGUGACGCG